rnacentral:misc_RNA from 1 species
GAUGAAGAACGCAGCGAAAUGCGAUAAGUAAUGUGAAUUGCAGAAUUCAGUGAAUCAUCGAAUCUUUGAACGCACAUUGCGCCCGCCAGUAGUCUGGCGGGCAUGCCUGUUCGAGCGUCAUUUCAACCAUCAAGCCCCCGGCUUGUGUUGGGGACCUGCGGCUGCCGCAGGCCCUGAAAACCAGUGGCGGGCUCGCUGUCACACCGAGCGUAGUAGAUUUUCAUCUCGCUCAGGGCGUGCUGCGGGUUCCGGCCGUAAAAAGCCUUAUUUACCCAAGGUUGACCUCGGAUCAGGUAGGAAGACCCGCUGAACUUAAGCAUAUCAAUAAGCGGAGGA